CAUGCAAGUCGAACGGCAGCACAGUAGAGCUUGCUCUAUGGGUGGCGAGUGGCGGACGGGUGAGUAAUGCAUCGGGAUCUACCCAAACGUGGGGGAUAACGUAGGGAAACUUACGCUAAUACCGCAUACGUCCUAUGGGAGAAAGCGGGGGAUCUUCGGACCUCGCGCGGUUGGACGAACCGAUGUGCGAUUAGCUAGUUGGUAGGGUAAAGGCCUACCAAGGCGACGAUCGCUAGCUGGUCUGAGAGGAUGAUCAGCCACACUGGAACUGAGACACGGUCCAGACUCCUACGGGAGGCAGCAGUGGGGAAUAUUGGACAAUGGGCGCAAGCCUGAUCCAGCAAUGCCGCGUGUGUGAAGAAGGCCUUCGGGUUGUAAAGCACUUUUAUCAGGAGCGAAAUGCCAUUGGUUAAUACCCGGUGGAGCUGACGGUACCUGAGGAAUAAGCACCGGCUAACUUCGUGCCAGCAGCCGCGGUAAUACGAAGGGUGCAAGCGUUAAUCGGAAUUACUGGGCGUAAAGCGUGCGUAGGCGGUGAGUUAAGUCUGUUGUGAAAUCCCCGGGCUCAACCUGGGAAUGGCAAUGGAUACUGGCUCGCUAGAGUGUGAUAGAGGAUGGUGGAAUUCCCGGUGUAGCGGUGAAAUGCGUAGAGAUCGG
rnacentral:rRNA from 1 species